GAAAAUCCCAUCUUGAUUGACCAUGUCUCACAGCAUGCUUCUUGACAAACCCGAAAGCUACCUUUAUAACUACCCUAUUACGGCGUAGCGUUUGAUAGCCCCUAAGUAGGUCGAUCCACAUCUUGAAUACAUGCGACAAUCUCAGGUCUAAGGACAAAGCGUAUAUGUUGUUUAAAGAGAGAACUACUUCUCGUGUUGGGUCAAUCCUAGCACAUGUCUCCACAUGUGCCCACAUUAUUAGUUCAACAUCUCCAUGUCCAUGACUUGUGAAACAUAGUCAUCAACUAAUACAUGUGCUAGUCUAAUAUUCAUGUGUGUCCUCACAUAAACUCCGACUAGGGACAACUUUAGAAUAACCAUACAAGUAAAGAGUUUCACACACAAUUCACAUAAUUGCAAAUCAAUUCAAGUAGCCUUUAAUGGAUAUUCAAGGAACACAAUAUAAAUCAUGGAUACAAAUGGAAUAUCAUCAUCUCUAUGAUUGCCUCUAGGGCAUACCUCCAACAGUCUCCCACUUGCACUAGAGUCAAUCUAGAAGGUACCUAAUACUCAUAGCUCUUACAUGCGCAUCAUACUUAGCCUGCGAGAGUGGUUUUGUCAACGGAUCAGAAAUGUUCAGAUCCGUGUGUAUUUUGCAUAUCUUGAUCUCAC
rnacentral:lncRNA from 1 species